GGGGUUGUGGCUCAGCGGUAGAGCGCUCAUCUCGCACACGUGGGACCCUGGGUUCGAUCCUCAGCACCACG
rnacentral:tRNA from 1 species